AUUCGUAAAUCUUGGUGGGGAAGCAAGGAAAGGCAGAGAAACUUGAGUUGGGUUUCUUGGAGCAUGAUGACCAGGCCAAAGCAUUGUGAUGGAAUGGGAUUUCGAUAUACUGAGCUAUUUAAUCUUGCAUUCCCGGCAUGGUAGGCACGGCGUGUUCUUAUGAACCCAAAUUCUCAAAGUGCAAGGAAACUAAAAGCAAAAUAUUUCCCCUCUGUUGAUUUUCUGCGGGCCGAGCUAGGUGGAUCACCCUCACAAAUAUGGCGAGUUAUCCUUGAUGGACGUAACCUCGCUCAGGGUAUAAUGCGGCGCAUUGGGGACGGAAUGACCAUGAACAUAUGGCAACAUAACUAGAUUCCACGACCCACCAACACGUGA
rnacentral:rRNA from 1 species